GACGAACCGUGCGAACGUUGUUCGGAAUCACUGGGCUUAAAGGGCGCGUAGGCGGCGUGCGAGGUCGGGGGUGAAAUCCCACAGCUUAACUGUGGAAGAGCCUUCGAUACCGGCGCGCUGGAGGAAGGUAGGGGUGCGCGGAACUUCUGGUGGAGCGGUGAAAUGCGUUGAUAUCAGAAGGAACGCCGGCGGCGAAAGCGGCGCACUGGACCUUUCUGACGCUGAGGCGCGAAAGCCAGGGGAGCAAACGGG
rnacentral:rRNA from 1 species